GACGUAGGGCGCGAGCGUUGUCCGGAUUUAUUGGGCGUAAAGAGCUCGUAGGCGGCUUGUCGCGUCGAAUGUGAAAACCCACGGCUCAACUGUGGGCUUGCAUUCGAUACGGGGCAGACUGGAGUAUUGCAGGGGAGACUGGAAUUCCGCGUGUAGCAGUGAAAUGCGUAGAUAUGCGGAGGAACACCGAUGGCGAAGGCAAUCCCCUGGACCUGUACUGACGCUCAUGCACCGAAAGACGUGGGGAGCAAACGAGG
rnacentral:rRNA from 1 species